rnacentral:misc_RNA from 1 species
GAAAGAUAUAGUUGUAUUAAAGAAGGCCUUAAAAAAGAACCAGAGAUACAAGUACCAUAUAUGGCCAUGGCCAAAAAUAAGGAAACCAGCUAUUACAUAUAGGAAGCUAAGCCCAGUACAAGAAUUCUCUAUGCAUUUACCAAACAGCAUAGUACAAUAAUAGCCUAAGCAUUUACUAAACAGCAGAAGAAAUGCAUAGGACUUGAGCCCAAACCACAAAGACCCUUGGGCACCAAGCAACCGGGCAAGGAGACCCCAAAUAAGUGAAUCCACAGCGUCAACAACCAGCGCCGUCAUCCCACAGAUGGCCCAACCAUAGAGGCUCUUCCAAUGGUGGUUGUUCCAACAAGCAAAGAGAAAACUCGUCCACUACCAAGCAUCACCACCAAAAGCAGGACUUUAGCUAGGAAUCCAAUUGAACUCUAUGAAGCAUAGCCAUGGAGACCAAGAAAACCAAUUACCCUAGGAAGAAGUAGCAGGAGAGGAAGAAUAGGAAGGAGGUAGAGCCCGAUCAGCCUCUCAAUCUCGUAUGGCCAGAGGGUGGCGGCUCCUAAUCGUUCGGCUCUUUCAACCCUCGAGGGUGCCUCCUCGCCUUUCACCACCAUUGAAACUUCAACCCAUCACUUCACCUCACAACCAAACAGGGCAUGCAACCCAUCAAGCUAAAAGGAACAACGCGAAGAACAGAGAAUAUGAAUAAUAGCACCACAACCAAAG